ACAACAACAACAACAACAACAACAACAAUAACAAUAACGACGUACCGUUCGACAUAAUGACGAGACGCGUGUACGUACAGCAUGAUAAACGGACCGGCCGGAGUUUGAUGCCCGGUCCCGGUAUCGUCUUGAUUCGUGCGCGCAGUAUAUAUCAAUAAAAAAAAAAAAAAAAAAAAAAAAAAACGCGAGCCGCGGUUAGGUACGCGUUCGGAUCACAUACUGGUUAAAAUAUGAGCCC